rnacentral:rRNA from 1 species
GAUCCGGUGGUUGAACGUGGAAUUGCCAUCGCUCAACGGAUAAUAGGUACUCUGGGGAUAACAGGCUUAUUGGACUCGAGAGUUCACAUCGACAGUCCAGUUUGGCACCUCGAUGUCGGCUCAUCCUAUCCUGGGGCUGUACAAGGUCCCAAGGGUCCGGCUGUUCGCCGGUUAAAAGGGUACGCGAGCUGGGUUCAGAACGUCGUGAGACAGUAAACAACUGACCGUUGCUGUCUUUAAAUCUGGCUAAUUGCUGGAAAAUCUGAGUAUCCCAUAUUACUACUUGACGAUUUAGUCUCUACAUGAUAGGCUAUUGUUAGGAGUGAAAAUAUAUGGGUGCAGACAAUCAGCAGGAAAGGCCAAGAGAGAUAACAUCAUAUAUCUCAGGUUUUGUCGACGGAGAAGGUUGCUUUUCUAUAACAAUUCAAAAAAGCAACAAUGUGAAAUUAGGAAUUCAGGUAAUUCCGGAAUUCCAUGUUUCGCAGCACCAAAAUAGAAUUGAAGUUCUUAAGGUGAUUAAGGAAAGAUUAGGUUGUGGAUAUAUUAAACCCAAUGAUCCUGGAAAUCCAAAAGAUCAGACUUCAGUUUAUGUCGUGCGUAAUAUCAAUGAUCUCCGCGAUAAAGUCCUACCAUUCUUUAAGAAAUCUCCGCUUAUCUCAAUUAAACAAAAAGAUUUUGAGAAAUUUGCUCGAGUCGUUAGUUUAAUGAAAGAUGGCGGGCAUUUAAGAAAGAAUAGUUUAAUUACGAUAUUAGGAAUUGCUUAUUCAAUGAAUUUCAGCGGUAAAUAUCGUAAACAAAAACUAGAAGAUAUAUUUUCUCACUUGGAAUCUUCAGAGACUAUACGCCAGAAAUCCUAUUCGAAAGAAUAAGGAUUAAGAUAUAGUCCGAACUGUAUAGCGAUAUACAGAGGUUAACAGAAAUGCUAACCCCUUUGUUCAAUUGAGCAGAGAGUAACAGUAUUGUCGGUCUCUAUCUGAUGUGGGCGUUAGGAUAUUUGAAGGGGAGUUCUCUUCAGUACGAGAGGACCUAGAGAAACAAACCUAUGGUUUUCCGGUUGUCCUGCCAAGGGCAAAGGCCGGGUAGCUAUGUUUGGAAGGGAUAAGCGCUGAAAGCAUCUAAGUGCCAAGCCCACCCCAAGACUAAGUAUCCCUGUGCCGCAAGGCACUGUAGGCUAGUGGUAGACUACCACUUUAAUAGGCGUAAAGUGUAAGAUCCGUAAGGAUUUCAGCUAAUACGUACUAAUCAGCCAAUAGGCUUGUCCUU